rnacentral:rRNA from 1 species
UUACCAGACUCCUACGGGAGGCAGCAGUGAGGAAUAUUGGUCAAUGGCCGAGAGGCUGAACCAGCCAAGUCGCGUGAGGGAAGACGGCCCUACGGGUUGUAAACCUCUUUUGUCGGGGAGCAAAGCGAACCACGUGUGGUUCAUUGAGAGUACCCGAAGAAAAAGCAUCGGCUAACUCCGUGCCAGCAGCCGCGGUAAUACGGAGGAUGCGAGCGUUAUCCGGAUUUAUUGGGUUUAAAGGGUGCGCAGGCGGAGGUGCAAGUCAGCGGUCAAAUUGCGGGGCUCAACCCCGUACUGCCGUUGAAACUGCAUCCCUUGAGUGCGCGAGAAGUAUGCGGAAUUCAUGGUGUAGCGGUGAAAUGCUUAGAUAUCAUGAAGAACUCCGAUCGCGAAGGCAAGUGUCCGGGGUGCAACUGACGCUGAGGCUCGAAAGUGCGGGUAUCAAACAGGAUUAGAUACCCCAGUACU